rnacentral:rRNA from 1 species
GAUGAACGCUGGCGGCGUGCCUAAUACAUGCAGGUCGAGCGAACGGACGAGAAGCUUGCUUCUCUGAUGUUAGCGGCGGACGGGUGAGUAACACGUGGAUAACCUACCUAUAAGACUGGGAUAACUUCGGGAAACCGGAGCUAAUACCGGAUGAUAUUUUGAACCGCAUGGUUCAAAAGUGAAAGACGGUCUUGCUGUCACUUAUAGAUGGAUCCGCGCUGCAUUAGCUAGUUGGUAAGGUAACGGCUUACCAAGGCAACGAUGCAUAGCCGACCUGAGAGGGUGAUCGGCCCCACUGGAACUGAGACACGGUCCAGACUCCUACGGGAGGCAGCAGUAGGGAAUCUUCCGCAAUGGGCGAAAGCCUGACGGGGCAACGCCGCGUGAGUGAUGAAGGUCUUCGGAUCGUAAAACUCUGUUAUUAGGGAAGAACAUAUGUGUAAGUAACUGUGCACAUCUUGACGGUACCUAAUCAGAAAGCCACGGCUAACUACGUG